CGAUAACUGCCACCUGCAGUAGUCUACUACAGGUACUGUAGGUGGCAGUUGUCGCGUGGUUAGUGUGUGAGGUCAGAUGACGAGUGACAACGCGGGAAAAAUGACGAGGUACAGCGGAUGAUGGACGCUAGUACAGAGACGGAUGGCGCUCCUGCCAAAAAACCAAAACCCUCAUGUAAAUACCGCGAUCAAUGGGACAGCGAAUUUACUUUUCGGAAGAGGAGCAGUGUGGGGGACAGUCAGGCGUUUUGUAUGCUCAGUCUCCAUCCGUAAACCGUGACAGAAUGACCGACCCAAUAUGAUGGAGGCAGCAGAGGUGGGCGGUAGGGGAACUCCAUUCAGAUGGCCAUUUUUUAGGAGCUGCCACCAGAGGAGGGAUUCCUGCUGCCACCCCCCCAAGGCGGGGCCGCUGACUCAUUCUGCUCCCGAGGCAAGGCCGCUGCCUCAUUCUGCUCCCGAGGCGGGGCUGUCGCCUGCUCUCCACGCUCACCUGGCUCCUGGUCCUCUCCACGCUCUCCCUGCUCCUGACCCUCCGCCGGCUCCUGAUCCUCCGCCGGCUCCUGAUCCUCCGCCGGCUCCUGGUUCUCCCUGCUCCUGCUCUCCCUCCACCUGACCCUCCACCGGCUCCUGAUCCUCCGCCGGCUCCUGCUCUCCCUGCUCCUGUUCUCCCUGCUCCUCCGCCGGCUCCUGGUUGGUCCACCACAGCGGAGCCUCCGCCUGGUCCUGUCCUCGGUCCCCGUCCCGAGGCAUAGCCACCACCCUUUGUUUCUUUUGUCUUGCAGCUGGAGCCGCGCCUGACGGGGGUGGUGCUGUAACAGUCCCAGCUGGACAGGACUGUUCCGCUUUUCUGUGUGUCCUUGGUUUGUCAUGUCCUUGUUUGGGCUUUCCUGUUCUCGUUUCAGUUAAUCAGUUUAUUCCUUUCACCUGUGUUUAGCUAUCCACCUGUUUCUGUUCUCCUUGUUAGUCUGUGUAUUUAGUAAUGGACAGCCAUUUUCUCCCUGUCCAGGUGGGUCAUUGUGUUGUAUGUCAUGUUCCAGUGUUACAUGUCUAUGUGUAAGAUGUCUGUUGUGCAUAUUGUUUGAUAUUGGCCCUUAUUGAUUAAAAAAAUAACAGUGAUGCACAUUAAAGGAAUUUGUAUCCUAUUCCAAAAAA
ensembl:lncRNA